UAUGGCCGUGUCUUCAAUAGUUAGCAUGAGCUUUGCAGUUGUAUCAAGAGAACUUUUUUCACCUUCUCAACAACCUCUCACAUCAAGUUCAUGGAAAAGAAGGGGGAGUAAUUUGAAAGCUACAGCAAAAUUAAGUUUUCUUUAAGUUCAUUAAUCAAUUUAUUAUUUAUGACAUUGUAGUUUUCCAUAUACGAACUUUUUUUUUGUGUGUGUUCUAUGAUAGGAGGAGGAGAGGGUGAUGUCAAGAAAGAUGGGAAGAAGAAAUUCAUAACUAAAGAGGAAGAACCUGAAUAGUAAGUUUUCCAUCAGUCAUUUCUUUCUUUUUUGUAGUUUGCCUAUCAUUUGAAAGAAUAAUUGAAGUUCCAUAAAUUUUAAUAUGGAUUUGUUGGUGAAAUGACUGAGAUUUUUCAUCCCUUAAUCAGAGUGUCAGGUUUGAACCCUUAGAAUAGAGAACCUUCUGUUAAGCUAUGCUUUGCUCUUUUAGUUUUGGACGAUUUGGAGUGAAUCCAGAUUAAUCUGGUUAGUGAAUUUUGGGUACCAGAUAAUUAAAAAGAAAUUGCCGAAAUCUAUAUUGCUCGGCUUCUUCAAGGAUGUUUCACACUCGUAGAAAAUCCUCAUAAAAUAUACUACCUCUGGAGGACCAGCUAAAACCAGCUAAACACAGGAGAUUUUUGAAGAGUCCAAGUAACAUAGGCUUGUAUGUAGACACAUAGGCACGACUGACCAAUCAUCAGUACGACUCUUACCCCUCAUCAAUAUGGCUUACAAAGAUUGAAGGACCUAAUCGGCCCAGUAAAUUUUCAAAGCCAAUAUGCCGAUGCAAUAAGCUAAAUAGUAUCAUAUCUACUGAAACAGAGAAAAACAAAGCAAGGACAUACCUUGACCAGUAAACAGCGAAAACAUCAUUUGAUUCAACCUACCCAGUCUCCUAAAUCAUCUUUGUCGUAAGUUGAGAGGAAAAUUUUGAUAAGUAGUCCAUAUCUUCUUGCAUAAGGAAAAGGCUCAAAAGUAUAUUCCAAUCAAAAUCUAUGUUCAAUAUAUCCUACAAGUAAAAUUAUAUACAGUAAGUGGUGAAGCGAUCUCUAUCAUGAGCUCUCACUUCGACAAGUACUUUCAUAUACAAUUUCACAUUCUCGCUUCAACAAUUACUUACAUACAACAUCUCACAUUUCAUGCCAUAUAAAUUAAUGUGUAUUUGAAAGAGUAUUUAUAACUUUAACUUGAUAGUGGAGAAUAAAAAUAGAUUUUUGCAAGUUCUUUCAAAAUAUAUGACUUCGUAAGAUGAUGUGAUAUCUCGUGACUUGAGCCGGGGGUCUUUCGGAAACAGCCUUUCUACUUCAUCAGAGGUAGAGGUAUGGACUGCGUACAUCUUACCCCCCCAGACCCCACGAAGUGGGAAUACACUGGGUUUGUUGUUGUUGUUGUUGUUGUUGUAAGAUGAUGUGAUACUUUCUCAAGUUGCAUUACGUGUAUUUGGAAAGAAUUCCCUAUUUUUUAUUACUGUAGUUCCUCAUUUAGAACGGAUAUAAAUAUUUGUAUAUGAAAAAAAAGAAUUAACUAUAUGCACACUACAUAAAGUAUAAGCACUUAUAUGUUUUCAAUUCUUUCCAUCAACUUAAUUCACAAGAACUGAAUUCACAAAAUAUAUCAAUUGAAAAGACUAAACUUUAUUGAACAUGAUGAAAUUUAGAUCUGAAGAGCAAGAAUGUGCAAAAUAAACAUAACAUAAUUCAUAGAGAAAGAAAUUUACUGGUAAAAAUUCAAAAAACUCGUUGACAACAACUACACAAACAGGAAAGGGAUGGAGCUUAUAAUAAAUGAAUUUGUCAAAGAAAUGAGAAGUAUAAUGAAACAGCAAGCAGGUAAUUCGAAAGUUGUCUUCACUAAAUAUAACCAAUUUACAUAUCUAGAUCUUGUAAACCAAUUUAAUCUAUGUAGAAAUUGAAAAAGUGAAUUAGAUUACGGAUAGAUAGAAACCCGCAGUAAGUAAUCUAAUCGGAAGGAUCCAAUUCUUCCAUUAGAAUCAGAAAACCCCAGGUAAACAAUUCAAUCUACUUAUGAAACAGAAUUCAAAUUCAAUUUUUUCUUGUAUUAGAAUUAAAAACAAAUCUAUAACCGAGAACGUCAAAAAGUGACAAUCAAAAAUUAAAGAUGGUUUAAUAUGAAAUAAUUUUUGGCAAGAAGUCAUACCUACAAACAAAAGCCAGAAAGAGUGGGUGUCCUUUAAACUAACAAAAGAGUCAUCCAUCUUCUCCUUUGUUAAACUAAUGUUAAACUAACAAAAGAGAAGAUAGAAAAGCCACUGAGAGAGAGAAAGCCGAACACAUUGCCACCGUGCGUAGAAGAUCGUAGAUAUUACACGUUUAUCAACUUGUACAAUAUAAUGACCAAAUUAUCCUUAUCAAAAAAUUAAAUAACAGUUGCGGGACAUUUCGAAACCAAUGUUUAUAUAAUAUAGAAACAUAGAGGAAAAUCAAGGGAUAUCAUAAACAUGACAUUAAUUCUUGAGAAGGUGGAAACAUUAUAGAGUAUGGAAGAUCAACGAUAAGGUGGUGAAAGUGUGAGAAUUACUACACUUAAAGGAGGAGUUACACCUAGAAAUUACAUACAUCUACAAUGAAAAAAAUACUCCCUACAUCCCAUUUUAUGUGUCGUUAUUUUAUUUUAGGUCCAUCAUUAAAAUAAUAUCACAUUUCCUUAUUUGGUCACAAUUUAAAGACUCAAUUCCACUUUUAUCCUUAUUGAUACCACUUAUAAAGUCCCACUUAAUUAAAGAUAAUAGUAGUACAUUUUUUAAUAAAGGACAAUGUGGUAAAUAUCACCAAGUCUUUUUUUAUUUCUUAAACUCUAUGUCGUCAAACUAUGCCACAUAAAAUGGAACGGAGGGAGUACUUAUUCACAAUAAUUUUGUAGUAUUUGGCUAUAAAAUAAAAAAGUACUUUUAAGUACUUAUUAUAAACUAAGGGCCGGCUUUGAUUGACUUUAUUUUAAAUUAUUUUUAGCCAAAAUAGCUUUUAAGCAUUCUUGAAAUUUUUGGGUAAAUAAAAAGUUCUUUUAAGUACUUAUUUUUAAGUUAAAACGAUAAAAAUAAGUCAAAAGUCAUAAGUUAGUAUGUCUAUCUUAAAGUUGCUUGUAUUGACUUAUUUUAAGUGCUUUAACGCAAAAUAACUUUUAAACACUUUUAAAGUGUUUCGGUAAAUAAAAAGUUUUACUUUAUUUUUAGGCAAAUAAGUUAGUAUUUCUAACUUAUGACUUUUAGCUUAUUAAUUAAAUGCCAAAAGUCAAUACAAAGGGGCCUUAAGGACAAAAUCACACAAAUAAGCCAAAAUACAUAAAUUAGACUUAGUAACUUAUGGAUUUUGGCUUAUAAGCCAUUCAAACAAGCUCAAUAUUAGACCAAAUUAAAUCAUAAGCCAAUUCAAAAAUAAUAAUAAUAAGUCAUCUUUUUAUUGGUUCGAUUUAGUUUUUUUUUUUAUUUUGGUUGAAUACAUACAAGCCAAAAAAAGUUAUUUGUUUAGUUACAUUGUCUAAUAAUUUAACACAAUUGAGAAAAUGAUGAGUCCGCUUAUAAUUUCUUUGUUUUUUUUCAUUGGGAGUAGCUUGUAUUGUGAAUUUGAAGAGUGCCAAGGCAAGGAAGUUGUCACGACCCAAAUCACUGAUUGUGGGAACACCGACCUAAAGCCUAUCCUAGAUUGGAGAACUCUUACUAUCCAAAGAUUCAUUUAAUGCAGAUUUUUAAUGAUAUCAUCUAGUUAUCUAAUUAAAUAAUCCUUUAUUCAACCCAUUAGUCCAGUGUACAUCAUACAUAAAAAUUUAGUUUAAUCUUUUUUUUACGUAAAAAUAGUGUGAAAAAUAAUCAAAAAUGAAUUCCUAUAAACUAGACUAAUCCGGUACAAGAGCGCAAGACAUGAAAUAGGAAACUCCAAGACCGAACAUCCAUGUAAGAUUGAAAGGACAUGAGCUAUGGUAGAGUGGAUCACUUUUGCAACUAUGGAAAAGCUAGCUGCCCUACACCAAAGCUAUAUUCUUAGUUGGAGAUAUAUUAAAUGUAACAUUAGUAUAACCACACAUACUGGCAGCCAUCAUUGGCUAACCAGUGUUAGACACAAAUAACAUUAGUAGUAAAUAAUAAGAAAUCAUUGCAUCAAGUAUAGUUCUGGUUUCUAAUACCCGAUAUAAAAUUAUACACAAUAUUUUAGCAUCUCUUUGACACACUGUCAUUUAAAAUUUUUAUAUAUCUUUGUCCUUUGACAAUUCACUUAAAAUUACAUCAUUUAAACCUUUCCCUAAUCAUUAUUCCAAUUUCUGAAAUUUGUAACCCACUCAACACAACUUACAAAAUUCACUAAUUUAGGACAUCAGGACACUUUACAACUAGACCUAAUUUCCUCAAUACUCAACUGAUUCAAUACACUAUGGGAUUUACAACCACAUAGAUGCUUACGACAUUGACAACCCUGCGGGUAGGAACACUACAAUCUAUGACAACCCUGCUGGUAGGAACACUGCAAUCUAAUUAACCCAUAUAACUAUAUACUUAAGGGAAAUAGUAUUAUACAUAAUUCUACAUAGGUUCAUAUAUCUACAUAAUUAUGUACACCUACAACUCCUAAGAGACUAUGAUGGUUCUAUUGAGAUUCCAAUGUUAACUCUCUUUAUCUAUGGUCCACACUCGUAUUUCUAACAUUGUCCUCAAUUAAUUAUUAAUACCUUUAUUAAGAUACUCAUAGUCGGCCUUACUAACCUUACCCUAGUUAUUCUUUGACCCUUACAAAAUUACCUACUCUUCUAUGUACCUUGCCACUAGGUAGUCUCACCAACAAUCUCAUCCAUUUAAAUUAUACUUGAAGUUUACUUAAAACUCAAUUAUUUUGAAUUUUAAAUAUUAAUUGAACUUACUCUUUGUUAACCUUCCUUAAUGUAAUUCACAAUCAUCUCUAUUACUAAGAGCACUUUCAUUCAAAUCCUAGAUUACUUUAUGCUCUAUCGUUCUUCUAAACUAUGGUGCUCAUUCACAAUUCAUAAUUCUCACAAUAUUUGAUCCAUUUCAUGUCACAUAUAUCACAUUAAUGGAGUACAACAAUAAUUUACAACAUUAUUAAAGCCUAAUCAAAUUUUUGUCCAUCCAAACACCGUCCUUGAUGGUCUAGCGCAUGAAAACUCAAAAAUUACUAUUAAUAUACGUUAAUCUAGCCCAAUUAUAUUGCAAAUAAAUCAUAACCUAAAUCAUUGAUGAAACAUGCGGUUAUUUAGAGGAGAAAGUUAUCCCGCGAGUGCUAAGCAUCUUCCCAUGUGGAGUUUCCAUCGAGUGUACUUCUAAACCACCCUCAUGAAUCUUGGACUUUGGAAUCUCAUAGUUUUGCAGAUGGGGUUUACUCAAGGUGUUAUUAGGGAAAAAUAAUGGCAUAGAAGAGUUCAAAUAAAAGGGUAUUAAGGGGGAGGUCGAGUUGUCCACUGUCGGGUUCUACUACAACAAUGAAUUUAUCAUUGCAGCGAUAGGCAGUAGGCCAGCCUAAUUUAUUUUAAAUUUUUUUCCUAAUUAUGUUGGGCCCUAUUUCUCCCCAUAAAUUAAAUUUCAUCAAGUCCAAUAGGAGAAUUUUAGUCAUCGUAAAACUUUUUCAAAGCAUUAUUUAGCGUAAUGACAUUUUUGAAUUAUUAAAUUAGAUACCAAUUUAACCACUAUUCGUCUCUGAAUGGCUAUAUGAUAAGAAUAGAGAGUUUUAGACAAGACUCAAUUAUUCAAAUUUUGAUGUUUUUAAGGAGGGUGGACCUCAUAAUUUUGUUCUCACUCACCUAUUCUAUGCUUGGUUAGUUAAGUUGAAGCUUAUGCAGCCAAUCCACAUAUCAUCAGUGAAUUCCUACAUUGUUUGAAUUAUUAUCCCAAAUUUCAAUCAAUAUAGGUAAAAUUCUACUAUAAUGCUUACGUAACAAGUUAUCCCAAAAAUAUCUGAAUAACACAAACUAUCAUAACGCACAGAAAGUCAAGACAAAAACUGAAACUCGAGAUAGGGGAGAAGUUAACACUAUAGUAAUUACCAUUGUAAUGCUAAUUUAUUACUACAACAGUUCAUGAAAGUUUCAAAAUAGAGGAAAAUAAACAUUUUCCACAUUUUCACUUACCUCACUUGAAACUCUCUCUCCAAUCCCUCUACGUAUCUUCUUCCUUCAUUAAUUUGUAAGAUAACAUCAUAUCUUUACUACUUAUUCACGUAUUUCUCACUGUAAAACUUUGUUAGGUUGAUAAUUUUUGGGUGGUUUUGGGUGAUUUCUGACGGCUUUGGGAUGUCUUCAGCCUUUCUCUAAUGAAUUAAAAUUUCUCCAUUGCCUCAUGCACUGAAUCUGUCCUUAUGAAAGCAACUUUGCCAAACUUAGACCAACCAAUAGGAGAUCUAUACCUCCUACCAUAAAGAGCCUCAAAUAGAGCCAUCUGAAUAUUGGAAUGGUAGUUGUUAUUAUAAGUAAACUCGAUCAAAAAAAAGUAUCAUACCGAUUAUCCUUAUAUCAAGAACACACACCCUCAACAUAUCCUUUAAGGUCUGAAUAGGCCUCUCUACCUAACCAUCUAUCUGUGGGGUGGAAAGUUGUACUAAGAUGAACUUAUGUACCAAGACCCUUAUGACAAACAUUCCAAAAAAGAGAUGUAAACUGGGUACCUUUAUUUGACAUAAUUGUUAAUGGGACUCCAUGUAACUUCCCCAACUCCUUGACAUAGAUUCUAAAAUGAUCCUUGGUAGAAUCUAAAGUGUUAACUAGCAAGAAAUGUUCUGACUUAGUCAUUUAGUCCAUAAUGACCCAAAUCAAAUUGUGCUGAUGACGAGUAUGAUAACGCUCACCUAUACCAUUCAAUUUGGUAGAGGAUGGACAUUUUUAGUAGUUAAACUUACAUUAAGGUUGAAUCCACAAGCAUCAAAAUUAGAUUUCUACUCCCAUAGGUGUUAUCAAUUACUAAAAAGAUACCUGUAAUGUAAACAAAGUAAAGUACAUGAUUUAAAAUAGGGAGUUUGAUUUGGAACAAGGGUUUAUCACUAUCAACUCAAGUCAACAAAUUAAAGAAAGAAUUGUGAUUGAAAAUUCAAUAUGAGAAUGAUCUUGUGAUUAUGUCUACCUAAGGGCAAGUUUUUCAUGGGAACAUGAUGAUUUGGUGCAAAUUCUAGUUAUUAACUAUGCAGUAGGCUAGGUCAAAAGUUCUUGAGGUUAGUUAGUCAACAAAACCUUAAGAAUAUCACUUAUUGACCCUUUCGAGUACCUAACAAGUGUGUUAAUUUAAUCCACCUAAUACCUUAAUUGGGCAUCCCUAUUUAUAGGAAGAUGCCCAAGACAUAGACAACUCUCUAUUCACCCUUCUUUCUAAGGUAACAAAAAGAUAGAAAACUACAUUAGUUAUUAUCCACUAUUGCUUUGUCCCCCAUAACCCCUUUUAAAGGAUGCCAUGGGUUCUAAAAUUUCACCCACAUCCCUUUUUCAAGGAUGAUGUGAGCUUUCAAGAUUUUUGAAUUUUCACCCAUAAUACCAUUUUGGGCAUUUGGGGUUUUCACCCAUAAAUCCCAACAAAUUAAAUAAAGCAAUAGUGAAACCCAUCAGCAACAAACUAGAAUAUACUCAAAUAUAUCACAACCCAUACAUAAUUGCACCUAAAUUCAACAUAAUCCCAAGAAAAAUAAAUGUAGCUACUUAUGAAGUAAAGAGGAAGAAAUAUACCAAAAGGUUCAUUCAAAACAUCCAUUCUUUAGUUUCACCAAAUUCAAAGGAAGAAAUUUAAAUGCAAUUGUUUCCUAAAUUAGGGUUUGUAACUUCAAACCAUAUUUCUCUCCAACAGUUUACAAUGCCAAAAUGGGAAAGGGUUUGAGCCUAUUAAGGGAUUUGGGGUCAAUUGUGAAAAAUACAAAAUUGCCCCGACUGAUCUUAACCACCGUGACCUCUAUUAGAGCUAUGCGAUCACGAAAGAUGACCUAUCUUGAUUGGACGCUAUCACGACCAUCAAACCAUGAUUGCAGUAAUUGAGACCAGGUUUUCCAGCUACACUUUUCUUCUCUUUUUGGUCCCUUUUCCGUUUAAAUUCAUAUAUUUCUUCCUCAUCACCAAUAAACCUAUAAAUUGUUGAAAUUAGUGUAUUAAAUCACAAAUUUGCCUCAUUUAUACCUUAAAAUCAUAGUAGUGUUCAUGAAUUUCGAAUGCAUAUGAGUGGUAAAUUCCCCACUCAUCAACACCCCUAACUUAAACCUUUACUUGUCCUCAAGAAACACUCUUUCUUUAUUCAAUGAGAUAAUGCAACUUUAAGCCCAUUUAUAUAGCCCAAUGAUCACAAUGACUUCAAAAUUGAUUGCUACCACAAGGAACUCUUCAAACAUGGGUAAAUCUAUUCUCAAAACAGCCUUUAAUCAUGAAAUACAAAAUCAAAUAUACAAAGGACUUUAAAGAGAAACAAUGCUACAAUCACUAACACUUUAAAAGUGACUCUUUAUUGACCACAACUCUACUAUAUUUAUUUGGCUUCAUUUUUCGGAAGAUGACAAUAUCACCCACCUCAAUUUGUUCACAUGCCUCCUCACAAAAAGGAAAUCCCACAUACCAAAUUAUCUAAAAUGCAACAAGGGAUUCAAAUAUGAAACCCUCUCUCUCACAAAGACUCUCGAUGCUAACAAAUACCAUACCAUAGGCUUGCUCUUAUUUUCAAUUGCCACUACAAUGAAUACACUUGGUUGGAGAUCUCGAAGGGCUUUUUGAGCUUGUAACAUAGGUUUGGGGAAGGUUAGGAUAAAAAUUAGAAACAAAGUGGCUUUACCUUCCUUGAAAAUCUACAUCACACUAUUCUUUCCAACUUUUAACCAUGAACCACUUCUUUUGUUUUCACACUUUACACAUGCCUAAUUUAGGAGCCUUGAUUUCUCUAACUUUUUGAAGGCAUUUUUCUUUUGCUUAUUUCCUUGCAAUCCAUAACUCAUUCUUCUUUUGAUUAUUCCUUUAUUUUUCACCUUUUUAUUGAUUAGCUCAAAGGCAUCCAUUUACACUACCAUGGCCUAAAGUCAACACAUUAAAACUUACUACCCCUAACUUAGGCAUUUAGCCUCAAUUUUUAUUUUUCAUGUUCAAGGAGGGUAGGGUUAAAGAGAAGGACAAAUUUUUGAAUAGUACAAGGCUUGUAAUGUGGUCAUUAGGCUAUUUAGGCUUAGAGUGGGUUCUUAUUUCACAAAGAUUUCCUAGGAUCAUUUCACCAACCAAGUGUAAUUCAAAAUUAGUAUUGAGAGACCAACGGGGAAAAAUAUAGAUAGUACAAAUUAUGCAUGAGAUUUAAACACAAAUGCUCACCACACAUGGCAUAGAAACUCCUCAAAGGGGAUCAAUUGCCCUUCCUACUAGAGACAAAAUGGAGUAAUCUACCAAUUUCAUCAAUCCAAAAUCUUUGAGUCACAAAGAGAGGUAAAGUAUUGUUACAAGAUCACUCACGUCCAUGCCCUCAAUUUUUGAAAAGUUUUUGGAUGGAGGGAAUGUUUGCUUCACAUUAGAACUACACACAAUUUGCUAUUUAUGGCAUAAAACCGAGCCUACGUCUCACAUUACCGCUUUCAUAUGGGCAAACCAUAUGGAUGCUUAGACUUCACCAUAGGUACAAAUCUGAUCUCAAAUCUAGAGUGCUAUGGGUACUCAUACUUCCCCUGCAUUUAUAGCUCCGAUGCUAUGGGUACUCAGACUUCCCCUAUAUCCAUGGCUCAAAAAAUAAUCAUGAUGAUUCCUUUAAGAAUUUCAUCACUAAAUCUAUCAUAGGAAAAUACACAUCGAAUAUCACCACAAGCAAAAAAAAGAUAAAGUAAAAAUCUAAAGAAAGAAACAAAACUAAUCCAUGAAAAUGUGGGCACCAUCGAAGUGCCCAAAUAUUACAACCCAACAAAAAUAAAAAUAUAAAAAUCAUACAAAAUAACAUCAAAAUAUCUUGAAAUAUCAGUAAUAUAGGACCAAAUAAAAUGAAUGCAGAGACAAGCACCCCUAACUAAAAAUCUAGCAGUGUCCUCACUCAGUAAUCAAUCAAGCAUAAAGAGAAAUAAGGGUGCUCCCUGAAAUUGCAUCAAGAGCUGCUCUCACUCUCGGAUUCUGUAUCAUCAUCUGCAUUUUCAAGAUUGGACCACUCCACUGGGGCCUAAUCAUGACUCCCCACCUGGAAGGAAGUCUAUCUCGAGGUUUUAGGACCUUCUAAAGGCCCUUUACCCCCUUCCACAUCUUGCUAAAUAAUUUAUCUCUCUUCUUCUCCUUUUUUACCAUUCUCUCAUGAGAAACCAGAAGAUCUCUGUGAGACUCUUCCAGGUAUGAGUAAGCUCUCUCAAACCUAGUAAUAGUAUCCCUCUACUUCCAUUAGUCCUCUAAAUACCUUUCAAAAUCAGAGCGGGACACAUAUGAGUGAUUGGUGGUGGAGGGCUCUCCUGGCCCAUUGAAAAAUACAAACACUAGCUCAUGUCCCUAAUAUCAGUACCUUUAUCCCCAUGAAGCCUGGCUGUGGAUUGCCUACAAGACUCAGGCUCCUCACAUGUCGACUUUUCCAAGUUGUUCUUCCUCAUUUUGUUCUUACUCGGUGCGCCCUCAUCUUGAAUUUUGAAAGGGUAGAUGGGGGUGCCAGGGCUCACCAAAAUAUCUCUCGGGUACUCCUCAACUAGUGCUUUCCUAAACAACUCUAUAAUCAAAGAGGGGAAAGAGAGGUGUUUACAACUAUGGUACUUGAAAAAUUUCAUGUUUGAUAUCUCGAGUUGGCCGACAUUCAAAGGAAUGCCAUCUAGUAUGCAUGCAACCGUUUGAGCCCAUAAGUCUAAAACUUCUAUUAUGUGGGUUCAAGGAGAGACUCAGCUACAGAUGAUGUUCAACCAAACCCAGGCCUACAGAUGAUGUUCAACCAAACCCAGGCCUCUACAGUGAAAUCAUUCAUUGUUAUGUUUCUCUUGGUAGCUGCCUCUAAGACCUCCUUACUUGGGCACAACCUUUUCGCCAUCCAGCUGCCCGAAUCACACCCCUUGGCUUCAAAGUCAACUAUGUUUGAAUCUAGGAUCCCAUAUAUAUCAUUGAUUUGCUUCUCCCCAAAAUCCACCACCUUUCCCAUAUCCUGAUAAUUAUGAGGAUGGGUUUGAGAAGGAUACUACGCUAAGGUUAGCAUACAAUUCCUGGACUCACUGCUCAUUCACCUUGCAAGGUCCAAGGCAAAUCAACGCCACCCAGUGGCCAUAAGUCUAUCAUGAAAUCUCAAAAUCUUUUUAGGCAUAAUAGCCAAGCAUAUUCCUCUCUCCGAAAGCAGCUUUAUUCUUUAAUUAUCACCAUAGUAUUGAGUGUGGCACUCGAGGGCCAUGAAGAAAACUUGGUCAUAAUCUUCCAUGAGAUAAUCCUGAAAAACAUAAACACAAAACAACAAUAUUAAUCAAUGAUAUUUACAUGCACAAACUAUGCCAUGUUGUUCACUAAAGCUUAUGGAAUGGUUAUUUAGACAAAAAAAUUAGGUGCAGAAUUUUUGGCCCAAGAUGAAAUUAAGCCUCAGGUAUAGAAAUCGUAGGCCAUAGAGGCGUGAUUGCAGUAUCUGAUACCGGUUUCAAUCCUAAAUUUUCAAUGUCCAAAUACCCAAAUUCUAAUCCAAAUCAUGUUGUACAACAAGAAUUUACACUAAAAUCAUUGAACAAGAUUACUAGCUGAUCGAUCAUGCCCUUAGAAUGUGAAAACAGCUAGCAAACACUCGUUUGGGAAUUUGAUCGAGCACAUGGUGUGCACCCUUAAUUUUACUCAAAUUCACACACAAUUUGGGUACUCAAGACUUCUCACCAUGUUUGCAUAACAUAUUUUGGAAGCUAACCACCAUACAAGUUCAUUUAACAUAGAUUUAACAAUGAAAAUCAUAGAUUUAGGCCUUCCCUAUAACAUACAUUCUAUGGCCUAUUUUCGUCAAUUAAAGACUGAAUUCAAGAUACUUACCAGAGGAAUAAGUAAAAUGAAUGCACGAAUGCUUUUGGAAUACUCAAAAUUUAGCCCAAAAUGGGUACAAUUUGAGAGAAAAGCUAAGAUGGUAGUGUGAGGGAAAUGGGGGAUUUGGAUGGUCAUAUAGCUAAUUUAACCGUGGUGGUGGCCAAGGUUCCACAAUCUCAAACAUGCGGGUGACCGAGAUUGCGACAUGAUUCAAAAUUUCAUACUUUUUCUUUCUCAAACUAAUUCAGCACACUCCAUGGUGACACAAAUUCAUGGAUUAAUCAAAUGACAAAAUAAAAAUCUACCCUACAAAAUUAAAAAUGAAGGAUACGAGCCACUUUCGUGGCAUUUGUGGGUUGUAUCCCACAUAGUGCCUUAGUUAUCAUCGUGGUAUGACUUCUUUCAUAUUUCUCAAGUUAGAUCCUCAAGGGACCCAUCCUUCACUUCCUUAUCUUCAACAUCUAUGAUCGAAACCACUUGAAGUUCUAUGGGUUGUUUCUUCAUUUUGCAUAACCCAAAGGACACUUCACAGUUAAGAACUCUAAACCUCAAUUCCCCAAGCUCCAAAUAAUAAAUGGUUCUUCUGGUAUCAAGGAAAGGUCGACUAAGGAUAAUAGGUACCUAUUGGUCCAUUUCAUAAUAGAGCACUACAAAAUCUACCAGAAGGAUGAAUCUAUCCUCUUGCACCAACAUAUCGAAUAAAACAACAACUGGCUUUUUAAUAGACUGAUCCGCUAUCAAAAGCCUCAUCGAUAUUAGAGUGGGGGUACUCAAACCAAGCCUUCGAUAUAUUACAAAGGGCAUGAUAUUAAUACUUGCACUAAGGUCACAUAAAUCUUUUUCAAACAAAUGUGUCUCGAUGGUGCAUGGAAUUGUAAAGGCCCAAGUGUCUUCCUUCUUUUUUGCCAUUUUGCUACUCAUGAUAGAGCUACUCCCAUGGGUGACUUUAAUGUUGUUGCCUUAAAUAAUAUUCUUUUUCUACAUCAAUUUCUUCAUAAGCUUAGCAUACCCCAUUAUUUCUUGGAUCGCCUCAAGCAACAGGAUAUUAAUAGAGAGGUUGCUAAGAUUGACCAUGAAUUUCUUAAGCUUAUCAUUCUCUUCUUUCUUCUUAAGCCUUUGUGGAAAUAGAAGAGGGAUUUGAUUGUUGGUCAACACAUCACUUUGUGGCUUAUCCUUCUCUACCACCUCUUCAUCAAUUCCCAUUAAUUUUUUUUCAUCCUUUUCUUCUUGAGAUUUAAGGGUUUCUUCUCUUGGCUCAACCACAAUCUUUAUCUUCACAUUCAUGUGCUCAACGUUUGGAUCAUUUGCACCCACAAUUUCUCCUUAAACUUUCUUUAAAUGAUCACCAAGGGUCUUGCCGCUCUUAGAGACUAUUCCCAACACAUGGGCUUCAUUUUUCAAAUUCACAAUAGUGUCAUUAGGAAAACCCUCCUUUGGUCUAGCAUUUAAUUAAGUGCAGAUUUGCCCGAUUUGUAUUUCCAAUUAUUUGAUAGAAGCGGAGUUGGAUACAAUUAUUUGGUUGAGUUUCAAGAAAUUGACUUUCAGUUCACGGGCUAUUUUGUUCGUUCCCACCACUUUCACCAAAAUUAUUGCCAAGACAUCUUCGAUUUUGUAUUUGUCAGGGCGAUGAGGUUACCUUCUUUGUUCUUUUCCUGGUUAUAAGGGGGCACAAAACGAUUAUACUCUUGGUCUCUAUCCCUCUAAUCACGGCCAUUAUCAUGAUCCAUCCAACCUUUGUUCCUUUGAUCAUGAUCCAUCCAACCUUUGUUCCUACCUUUCCUUGGAUAGGUAGGGUGGGAUCCAUAUGAAUAAUUGGUAAAAUACUGAAUCUCCUCAUCAAUCUUCUUGGCCUCUUCAUCAUAAUAGGCCUUGGAUGCCAUGACACUCACCACUUUUGUGGAUUCACCCAUCAAACGCUUAGUUAAAAGCUCUAAUUGUGUCAUCAUUUUUGCCAUAUUUUCCUCCCCCUCUUUCUCUUGUUUUCUUUUGCUCUUAACCAACAAAGAAGGUAGUAGGGGAGACUUUUAGUACCAUGGCAUCAUGGGUAUACCACCCCUAAUUUUUCUUUAUAACUUCCUAAAGCAAAUUUGUAGCCGCUUGAUAAUUUAACUUCACAAGAGAGCCCCUUCCACAUUGUCUACCAUGGUUUUGUUGAUAGGAUCAAGAGCACAGUAGAAGAUUUGGAAAACCAUCUUCUCCGGCACUUUGUGGUUGGGACAUUGCAUGAGUUUUUUUGUUGAAUCUUUCCCAUACUUCGUAUAAGGGUUCUCCAUUCAAUUGCCUAAAUUUGAUUAUCUCAUCAUGCAAUUGAAGCAUCUUAGAGGGUGGAAAAUACCGGUGAAGGAAGGCCAUGAUAAGUUCAUCACAUGAAGUAAUUAAUUCGGCCGUAAGAGCGCAAAGCCACAAUACCGGCUCCCCUAUUAGAGAGAAUGGGAAGAGGCACAAAUGGAUGGACUGUUGGGUUAUGUGUGCAAUAUCAAAGGGUGCACACACUUCUACUAAGUUCUUCAAAUGAAAGUUUGGGUCGUCAUAAGCUUGACCCCCCAAAAGUCCCUUCAUUUGUAGCAUAUGCAACAUGAUGCUCAUGAAAUGAAAGACACCGUCCCCAUUAAUAGGUGGGAAAAGAUAGCAGUUAAACAUCCAAUGUCAUUGAGUGGCUCUUUGUCAUCAAGAGGUCCAUUGAAGGACCUGUCAAUACCUAUAUUGUCUCUCAUAGUUUCGUGAACACUAUGGGAGUCACCUAAAAAAGGAAACAAAAACAACAAUCAAAAUAAAUAAAAACCAAUAUGUGUUCAUAUAUACUGUUCAAAUUUAUAAAUUAACCCACAACUGAAAGCUGAAUUUCACUCCUUGACAACAAUGCCAUUUUGAUAGGGUUCACCUAUACAGUUCAAAUUGAUAGAGGACAGUUAUUUUCAAUAGUUUAACUUAUGUUGAGGUCAAAUCCACGAGGAGCAAAAUUAGUUUUAUAGACCUAUAAGUGUUAACAAUAACUAAAAAGAUACUUGUAAGUAAACAAAAUACAGUACAUGUUUUAAGUGGGGGGGGGGGGUUUGAUUUGGAACAAGGGUUUAUGACUAUCAACUCAAGUCAACAAAUUAAAGAAACACUUAAGAUUGAAAAUUAAAUAUGAAAAGGAUCUUGGGAUUAUGUGUACCAAAAAGUUAUGCAUAGGGACAUGAUGAUUUGGGGCAAAUUCUAGUUAUUUACGUUGCAGUAGGCUUGGUCGAAAGCCCUUAAGACUAGUUUCCCUAAAAAUCUCAAGAAUAUCAUUUGUUGACCCUUUUAAUUACCUAAAAAGUUUGUCAAUUUCAUCCACAUAAUACCUCAAUUGGGCAUCCUUAUUUUUAGGAAGAUGCCCAAGACAUACCCAACUCCCUAUUCACCCUUAUUUCUAAGAUAACAAAAAGAUAGAAAACUAUAUCUGUUAUUGUACACUAUUGCUUUGUCCCCCAUAGCCCUCUUUCAAGGUUACCAUGGGUUCUAAAAGUUCACCCACAUCUCUUUUUAAAGGAUGAUGUGAGCUUUCAAGAGUUUGGGGUCUUUUUACCCACAAACCCAUUUUCGGCAUUUGGAGUUUUCACCCACAAAUCCAAACUAAUUAAACCAAGCAAUAGUAAAACCCAUAAUAAGAAAACUAGAAUCUACACAAAUACAUCACAACCCAUACACAAUUGCACCUUAGUUCAACAUAAUCCCAAGACAAAUAAAUUUAGCUACUUAUGGAGUAAAGAGGAAAAAAUAUACCAAAAGGUUCAUUCAAAAUAUCCAUCCUUAAAUUUUACCAAAUUCAAAUGCAAAUGUUUCCCCAAUUAGGGUUUGUAAGUUAAAAUCUAAUUUCUCUCCAAAAGACUACAUUGCCAAAAUAGGAAAGGGUUUGAGCCCUUUAAGGGAUUUGGGGUCGGCUGUGAAAAAUUAUGAAAUGUCCCCUAGGCAUAUUCCUACAUUGCCACAAUCAGGGUAACUUGUACGCAACACGACCACCAUGACGCGGUCAGAGCUACUCGAUCACUAAGGAUGACCCAUCUUAAUUGUCUAUGAUCGCAACCCUUAAAUUUCAAUCGCAGUAACUGAGACCUGAUUCUGCUCUAAGUCUUCCAACUGCACAUUUUUUCUCAUUUUAAUCCUUUUCUGCUUAAAUCCACAUAUUUCUUCCUCAUCACCUAUAAGACUAAAAAGUAUAGAAAUUAGUGUAUUCAAUCACAAAUGUCUCAUUUAUACCUUCAAACACAGUAGUGUGCAUGAAUUUUGAAUUCAUAUGAUUGGUAAAUUCACUACUUAUUAGAGUAUGAGGCAACCCUGUGAAAAUAUCCAUAUUCAGUACUUCCCACUUCCAAUUGGGGAACUGAAUUCCAAAAGUGUACUACUAGGUCUCUAGUGUUCAACCCUAAGUUGCUAGCAAUUUGAACACUUAGCUACAAAUUCAGCAAUAUCUCUAUUUAUUCUAUUCCACCAGUAGACUUCCUGUAAGUUGUGCUACAUCUUAGUGGCUCGUGGGUGAAUAGAAUAUCGAUAACCAUGAGCUUAUGCUAACAUCCGCUGCCGUAAAUCACCUACAUUCAUAACAUCCAAUUUGCCCUGCUAGCGAAGAAUUCCAUCUCUCCCUCAAUAGAAAACCUCAACCUCCUGAUCCAAAACUUCCUCCUUUAACUUAAGUAAAGUUUCGUUACUAUCUUUCAUUUCCUUUACUUUCACAACUAAAGAAGAUUACGAACCAAUUUGAACCCAUACACUACCUUAGGACGAAUCAACCAAAUGAUCUCCCAACAUAGAAAGUAGGUUAACUUUGUGAACUAACUCUCUCUUUUCACCCUGAAUAUAAGAAACACUCCCCAUAGAAAAUCUACUAUGGGUGUCGGCCAUAACAUUGGCCUUACCUAGAUGGUACAAAACACUCAUAUCAUAAUCCUUCAACAACUCUAACCACCUUCUUUGACAAAGAUUUAGAUCUUCUGAGUAAACACAUACCGAAGACUCUUUUGAUUAGUGAACACAUAAAUUUGGACCCCAUAAAGACAAUACCUCUAAAUCUUUAAGGCAAAUACAAUAUCUUCCUACUCAAGAUCAUUAGUCGGGUUGUUCUUAUCAUGGGGUUUGAGCUGUCUAGAAGCAUAUGCUAUAACCUUGCCUUGCUAUAUCAAGAUGCAACCAAAUCCAACUCUAAAAGAAUCACAAUACACCAUAAAAUCAUCUGAACCCUCUGGUAGAGUCAAAAUUAGAGCGAAAGUGAGUCGAGUCUUCAACUCUUGAAAAUACUUCUCGCAAGUAUUGAACCACUGAAAUUUAAUAUUCUACAGAGUCAUUCUGGAUACAGGAGAGUAAAUAGAAGAAAAUCCUUUAAAAAAUCUAUAGUAACUAGAUAAACCCAAGAAACUCCUAAUAUCUGAUGUAGAGAUAGCUAGGCUAGUUCUUUACUACUUUGGUCUUUUGAGUAUCAACCCAUAUGCCUUCACCAAAACUAAUGACCUAGGAAACAUAUUGAUUUCAACCAGAAUUGGUACUUAUUUAACUUAGAUAACAACUGGUUCUCUUUAAAGGUCUGGAAAAUAAGCCUUAUAUGGUAUACGUAUAGACCCUUACUACAAGAGUAGACGAAAAUGUAAUAUGUGAAGAAUAUGAUGAAUAUAUCCAAGUACUUCUUGAACACUCAUUUCCUAAGGUCCAUAAAAGUUUUAGGAGCAUUUGUUAGUCCAAAAGACAUAACUACAAAGUCAAAGUGACCAAAUUAAGUUGUGAUAGCUAGAUUUGAAAUGACCCAAUUUCUGAAUCUAAGCUGAUGAUAGUUGGAUCUAAGGUUUAUUUUAUAUAAAUAGUUUGUACUAUAAAGUUGGUCAAAAAACUCAUCAGUCCUGGGAUUGGGAUACAUAUUCUUAAUUGUGACUAUUAAACUAAUGGUAGUUGGUGAACAUUCUAAUAGUACUAUUUUUUUUGAACGAAAAGAGAUGGAGCAACUCAUACAUAGAUGAUAGGACUAAUGAAACCCUUAUCUAGGAGGUCCUUCAACUAUUCCUUCAAUUCCUUAUGCUCAGCCAGAUCCAUUCUGUAGAGUGGGGUUGAAAUAGGCUAGGUAUCUCAAAGGAGAUCUAUUUUGAAGUUGAUUUGCUGCUCGGGAGAAACUCUUAAAAGAUCUUCAAGAAGCACCUCUAGAAAUUCAUUCACUACAACUGACUCAAAACUUAGAAUUUUUGAACUUGAGUCCAUGAACUGGACAAUUUGAUAAAUGCACCACUUAGAAAUCAUUUUUCUUGCCUUAAGGAAAGAGAAAAUUGACCUAUAGACAUUGAGGUACUACCUUUCCAUUUUAAAAUUGGCUUAUUUGGAAUAUGAAAUUGGAUUGCUCUAUUUCUACAAUCAACUGAGGCAUAGAAAGAGUGGAACCAAUCCAUACCAAGGAUGUUAUCAAAAUAGGUUAUCUGUAAUUCCACAAAGUCAACUAAGGUAACUUUAUGGGAUAUUAUGAUCGGGCAAUUUCUGUAUACCCAUUUGGCUAUGAUGGAACUACCGACUGGGUAGAUACAGAAAUAGGUUCUACAAGAAUCUACGAGCUGACGCCAAAAUCUACUUCAAUAUAGGAAGUCAUAAAGGAAAGUAUGGCUCUAGGAUCUAAUAAUACAUACAUAUGAAGGUGAAAGACUUGUAACGUACCAGUAACCACAUCAGGAGAACCCUCCUGAUUCUUAUAAGUCUGAAGGGCAUAGAGUCAAUUCUGAUAUUGUCCACUGGUGGCACUAGAGGUUACAUCUUGUCAAGUUGGUCGGCUUGCUAGAAAUGCUGAGGAGUUAGUGUUUCCUUAUUGACGAUUAUGCCUGCCCUUCUAUAUACCUACUAGGAAAUCCCUUAUCCUUUGGCCUAUAUUGCCAUACCCAAAACAUGCAUCAUUGUCGACCUUGCACUUACCCUUGUAGUUUAUACCGUACAUCCUACAGAUCGUGUUGGUGUGAAUAGUGUUCAUAAUUCCCUAGUAUGGCUCUCUAUCAUGAGUAUCCUACCAAAAUUUAGACAUUGGAGCACUGGCAAAAUAUAGGGCCGGGAAUAAAGACUUCUGGUGGGGCCGAUAAUGAUUUCCACCAUCUAAUCUUGGCUGAGAGAAUUUAAAACUGCCAGUCCUGGCCCUCUUAUUCUCCUAUUCCCUUUCCUUAACCCUUUUUUCCUCAAUCUACUGAGUAUGAACCAUUAAUCUAGAAAGAUCUAUCUCCUUAAUCAACAUCAUUGUUCUACACUCCUUGACUAUAUCCUCAAAACACCAUAUAUAAACUUACUCAUUCGAUCCCUAGAAUCAGCCACCGUAUUUAGAACAUACCUAGCCAACAAAGUAAAUUUGAGAGAAUACUCCUUAACACUCAUAUUGCCCUGCAUCAAGUUGAUAAACUCCACCUUAGUUUCCCUCAACUCAAAUGGGAAAAACCUAACAUAAAAAAUGGUAGCAAACUCAUCCCACUUUACUGGCCCUACUACACCUCGUUCUUUCUUCCACUACUUAAACCAAGUAUGAGCCACUCCUUACAAUUGGUAAGAAACAAAUAGAACUUUCACUCAAGGUAACACACAUAAUGUGAGUCAAUUUUUGUACACUAUUUAGGAACUCUUAUGGAUCCUCAUCAAACUUAGACCCAAAGAAUGCUGGAGGAUUUAUCCGAGUAAAGUCCUGAAUUCUAUUAACAUCUUAUUCACCACUGGGUUGGUUGGGGAAACAACCUACUGGUUAUUCUAGGAAGCUAUAGAUUGGGAUAAUCCAGGAAAGCAUCAUUGAACACCACAUGAGAGACCGUGUUAUUUACAUGGUUUUCCUUGACUAGCGGUGGCAUUAGUUGAUCCUCAUUCAUCCUUUCGUUUACCCUUCUAGUAGGCAUUUUCUAUAAAUGGAUAGAAGAUGAGUUAGAAGAAAAAAUGUAAUAGAGCUUACACUCCAUCACACAAUAAGAAUAAUGAAAGAAGUAAAAUAUUCCUAAAAUGGUUCAUAUACUUUCACCCAUAAGUAUGGCAUGCUUCACACCCAUGAACAAGACUCUACUUAACACAACAUUUAGAUACCCUAGGACAGUUUAAACCUUGUGCUCUGAUACCUAUUAUAUCAUGAUCUAAGACUACUCCUAGUCAUAACAUGGUGCUGGAGUCAUAAGUGAUAUCGAGAUAGCCCAUAGUUUGGCAUGAAUAGGGCAGAAGCUAACUAAAAUAAACUAAUAAUGAACAAUGAUAGAAUAAAUGUUAUUAUGGUCUAAAAUACCGAAUGAAAGUCAAAAAUCUAAACAUUUGCCUGACUGUUUGCCAACCUCUAACUAGAACGAGUUGUUGGGAAAAAACCCCCCAACUAACUCCAUUGAACUAAAAUACUAAAGAUAAACAACUGAUAAAUACUACUCGACUGAUGAGGAAUCACCAAGACUACAUAGUGCAUUCAAACCUUUAUUAUGAGACAAAAUAGUGCAAAGAGAGUAUGCAAUCAGUACUCUGAAUGUACUAAGUAUGCAAGAUGGGAAACUAAUCAACAUGUAAGAAUGAAACAUUAAUACAUGAACAUCACCAGCUUAAACUAAUGCGAUAAAUCAUGAUAAUAUUUAAGACUGAUCAUAGUUAGGAAAGUCAUGAAUAGUACUCAAUAUUUCAAUAACUAAUCAUUAUAUGGACACUCACAAUUAUUAAACAUAUGGAGACAUAAUUUUACAAGGGAAACAUGUUAUCAUGUUUCAUAAAUAAAAUAAAAAGUGAGAGAUAUAAUAAAACUCAUGUUUGACCUAAAACACAAUAUAAGUGAUAAUGGGAUUUACUAAAGAGUAAAAAGGUGUAAUACCCCAAACAUUCCUUAAUCCUAAUUUUGUUUCUAUAAGAUUGAGGAAUGACUUCCAAAGUGUGUAAUAUUUAAAUUAUAUAGAAUUCUACUAAUUUUGACUUUUUAUUGUAUGGAAAAUUAAAUUAUCUUUCCCAUGAUAUAAGAUUCGCCCAAAUUCGUCAACCAGGCAAGAAGUUAUGGCUAAUUGAAGUUCUUAACAUAAAAUAUUGUCAUUCAGACCCUUAGCGCAUCGCGAAGAGGAGUAAUAUCCAAAUUUUCAGUUUCCAGUAGCCUAGCGCGAUUGUAGCACAUCACGCUGAAGUUUCAGGUCCCAACCAUUGGGACAACGCAAUGGAUUUGUGUCGCGGUGACCCUCAAAUUCCCAUUCGUCAAUUUCCAGUCAGCCCACCGCGAUAGUGGCGCAUCGCGGUGGCCCAUAAAAUAGGGCUCCCAGUUAUAUUUUCCAGUUUCGUUCAGAAUUUAAAAAGGGUAUUUUGGACUUUUUCCAAACCACUUAAAUCAUCUAAACACCUAAUUUAAGGUCAUUACAAGCAUCAUAUACCAUCUUUCUAAAAAAUCCCUCAGCCAAAAACCCUAGUUCAUCAAACUUCUCCUCCAAGAAACUCAAGAUUUCUCCAUCAAUUUUCAAAUUAAGUCAAGAUUCCAAGUUUUUAGUGCAAGAAUUUCAAGAACCAUCAUUCAAGAGUUCCAAUAACAUCUCACAAGAAAGUUAUUCAUUCAAGUUUAUCAAUCUAAGGUAUGUGGGGUUUGAACAAGAACAACCUUGCAUUCUUGUGCCCAAAAACUCCAUUUAAGAUAUAAAUUUCUAAAUUUUACUAUGAUUUCCAUGAACACCAAGUUAGGAUUUAUACCCAUUACCAUUAUUUGCAAGAUUAUGUGGUUUCCUAUGGUUUAAAAGUUGAAUUACAUGAUUUUGUUUAUAUUUUUGUGCCUAUUUCCAAAUUUUCUAGAUUUUAAGAUGAUUGUAAAUGUUUGGUUAUCAAAGAAUGAAUUUUGAGAUAUUGAAAUCAUGAGAUUCAUAUUAUGAGUUAUUUUCCUAAUAUCUUGAUUGAGAUAAUUGUAAGAUUUUUAAGAUGAUGGUUGAGCAUGAAGUUUAAAUAUGAUUUUAAUGCAUUAAAGCUUUACAUUUUGAGUCCUAAGUACAAGUGAAGAGUUUAUAGGGAGAUUAUGAUCUCAAGUUUUGUUGACAAGUUUUGAUAAGUGUUUUCAAAAGCAAAGAUUGGUCUUUUGAUCCUAAGUUAAGAUAGGAAUCCACAAUAUUUAUGGUUUCAAACAAAGAAAAAUAUAAUUUGGUCUUCGUUAUUGACCCUUGAGUUAUUUUAAGGUGGAUUUCCUAAAAGUUCUGAGCUUAUGAAUGGGAGUAGUAUUUAGCACUGACUUGGGUAUGAUUCUGAGGUGUCAUACCCCAGAACUAUGUGCCACUGUAGGAUUAAAUAAAUAGGCCUGAGGCUGAGAUUGUGAUCACUAAGUUAAGGUUAUACUCCCUGGCAAGAGUAUAAUGCUUCUCCCCAAUGUAAGGCUUCUUCCUUAGAAGGACAAAACAUUGGACUCCAUAUCAGCCACAUGGUUUAUGUCGGUUAGAAGAACCUCCCAAAGCAGUCCCCUACUCUAUUUAAGAUAAAAGUACAUGUGUUAAAAGUUUAUUUUAAGAUUUCCAAAGCUUUAAGUUUCAAAUUUUCCUAAGUCCCAAAUUCCUAUAAUCUUUAUGUUUUAAAGAAGCCCUUUAUUCUCCAUAAGAUAAAAGUAUAAGUUUUGAAAGUUAUCAUUUUAAGAUUUCUCUUUCUUACAAGUUUUGAGAAUAAGAUGGAGAUUAUAGAUUUUAGAAGUAAAUAGAAUGACUCACGAGAUUUGUACUCUAUGUUUCAUUAUACAUGAUUUCUGAGAUUCAAAUUUCAUUUUUUACUCAAGCUAUCUGAGUCAUGUAUAUCAGCGUGCAGAUUUUCUAUAAAGAUUGAUAUAUUGUUACUUAUUGCAUUGCACCCCCAUAUAAUCUGGCUAUCUUCAAAGUGUUGAUCCACCUAUAUGUCUAUGUGCUAUAUUGUCUUAUAAUGUAGCUACAAGUUGUAGUAUGUGCAGUAAAAAAUAGACAGUUGUCGAUUCCUGCCAGUAGAUAAUGAGUCCUUCUAUUUCUGGGACUUCAGUUGGAUUUACAAUUUUUAUUUACUUUCUUAUUCUUAUGUAUUGAUUAGUGAUAGUUGGGGUUGUAUCCUUGCUAUCUAUAGUCAGUAUUAGUAGAGGCUUUAUAGACACUCAGUAGAGUUAAUGUAUUCAGUUUUAAUUUUCGUUGUAAAAGUAGUGUUAUAAUCCUGUGAAUUCAGUUUUAUAUUGAUUAGAUUCAGAAAAGAGUUAUCUUCCACUGAUACUGUACAAAUUUAUGCAUUUUAUUUAGUUUCUUAUGAGUUUGCCAGUAUAAGGGUUAGAUUGGGGUUAAUUUUGACCCUAAGCAUCGUGUGACAUCAUGGGACCUAUUUCGGCGCGUUACAAACUUAGUAUCAGAGCACAGAGUUUAAGUAUCCUAGGGUGUAUAUGAAGCCGUGUCUAGUAGAGUUUUGUGAAAUGUUAGGGAGACGUCUGUACUUUUCUUUGAAAGGCUAUGAGGCAUUUAUGAAAUGGUUCCAUUCUUUCAAGUUUGGGAUAAUGCUAUAGAAAGGUUUUAUAAGAAACUUCUACAGAUUCUCAUCUUACUCUAUUCAGGCCAUCUCCGUAUUAGUUUCAAGAUAUUAGACACAUUCAAGCUUAAAUCUUUACAGAUAGUAAUUUCUCAGGUAGUCUCCAUAGAUAGCUAUGGGAUUGUAAGUGAGCUAGAAAUUAUCCGAUCAGUGCUUUUAAUCUCCAAAGAUUGAAGUAUUUUUUCAUGUUCAUGAAAUUCAUGCACUAAGCCCAAGUCAGAGGUACUUUCAGAUUCCUCCUCAUAAUCCAUAAUGUAAAUCUAUAUUUCACUAUUCUUGUAUUAUUUUUGAGAUAACAUGAUUAGUAAAUUCCAGUUUCUCCCUCAAUAAUGCUCUCAGACUUGCUAGCAAAAAGUUUCAGAAGUUUCACAAAGCAACUUGAGAGGGGCCUUUGGGUAUGUUAUAAGACCCUCAAGUUUAAAGUUAUGUCCUCAUUCUUAUGAGCCAUUCAGUUAAGAUAAAGUAAGAUGUGUAUUCAUAGAUCAUUGAAUAUUUUGUGUCAAGUUUCCAUCUCUUGUAAUCUUGUUAUUAUUGUGUUAUUGAAAUUUAAAUUCUAGUAAAGCCGUGUGAGGCCUAUUUUGAUUCACUAGCAACUUGUUAUUUACCUUUUUAUUCUUGUGUUGGUUAGAACUGGUGGUUCAGAGGUUUAUUAACCAGAAGGGUCGUAAGUGCAAUUUAUUAAAUAUAUAUAUAGCCAAAUUUUUUUGCAUAUGAUUGAUUUAGUAAUGAAGUGAUAUAUCCUUGUGUGUUAGUUUAACAGAAGGUAGAGAAGGAGUUAUUAGUUGAUGUGAUUUGUUGUUUUCUUAAAGUAUGAAAAGAGUUGUUGACGGAGUUUGUUAUUCUAGAAAAGUAUAUGUUAUUAAUGAAAGAACUUAGUGAAUGAGCGUUGUUAAUUUAGAGUUCCCUGAGAUUUCAAGAAGGAGUUUAGUUGAAACUUAUAGAGCUGUAAAAGACAUUUAGGUGUGUAGAUAGGUAUCUAGUAAUAAUGUGUGUACGAAGGACAUGUUAAUGGACUAUGAUUAAGAUAGGCCAUAUGAUUAUGAUCGAUUAUUAUUGUUAUGAGGUUUGAUUGGGCUAGUAUUGCUUGAGGUUUUAUUUCAUAGUUUCCAAGUGAGAAUUGUGUGUGAGGUGGGGUUGUAAAUCAUGUUGAGCACUAGACAUUAAGUUUGAACAAUUGGUGGUCAUAAUGGUGGAUGUGAUGAUUUCUUGGUUAAUGGUAUUAGUUAUAGGGAAGUAAUCUAGUAGGCUUAAAUAGUGUAUGCAAGAUCUUAAGUUUAUUUGAUUUGUAAUCGAGUAUGAUGUUGUAUGUAUGAUGUAGAAGUACACUUAAGGUUCUAUGGGGCUGCAUUAGUUUCGAGGAUCAUUGCAUGUAGUGUAGUUAUUAGUACUGUGGAGAUGCUAGUUUGAUAAAUACUAGUUAGAUAAUGAAUAAUGUUCUUGUUAUCUAAGUUAAGGAGUUAUGAUUAUGAUUAAAGAUGUUGAGACUUUUUAAGUAUGAUUUUGAUUCUCAUAAUUUAGAAAUAUAAGUUUACAGGUGUGAUAUUGGUAGGCUAUGACAGAAGUAGUAUAGUCCAUCAACGGUUUUGAAGUAUCCAUGUUAAGCAUUAUAAAUCUAAGUUUGAAACUUUGAAGAUUCAGCUAAUAGAAAUAAGAGUUGAAGCAUUAGAUGGUGUGAACUCCGACUAUGGGGAUGCUCAUGCAAAUUCAAAGUUAGUAAGCGUUCAAGUAUUAUAUGAUGAAUUUUCGGGCCAUAGAAGUUUGAGAGUCAAAUCUUAGAAAUAAGUAUUAGCUUUAGGUGAUGUAUGUGAAGAUAAAGUCCUUCAGGGUAAAUUUAGUUUCCUGGGUAUUAAUUAUAUCCCAGACUCUAGAGCAAAGUGAGUGUAGUUUAGGUUAGAGUUAAUAUAGUGGUUCACAAACUUAGAGUGAUGGCUUAAAGCUAAGGAGGGGGAGAGAGAUGAUAGAAUGAGUAACCAAGUCAAGCUUUAAGAUUCUAAUAAUUGUACCAGUGAGUUGUAGAUUAGAUGUGAGCGAGAUUGAUGCUUGACCUAAUCUUAUUUCAAUAUUUUCAGUUGUCCCAAAAACUACUCAUGCUUCAUGUGUUAGUUCCAUGAUAUUAAUUCAUGUUUAUGCAUAUGAUAGAGCUAUGUACUCUUCUAGUCCCAAAAGGAGGAGUUCCAGUUCUUUUAGCAGUUGGAAUCACAUUCCAUAAGUUAUGAAUUCCAAAUCUGGGUCAUGCAGCUUAUGACUCAUGUACCUAAGCUUUACGGUAUGUUCAUUUCAAGUGCUCAAGCAAUACUUUUAAUGAGGUGCGAAAUUCAGAUUUUAUAUCAUGCAUAUCCUCAGGUUAGAACUCUUUGAUAAGUUCAUGAUGUUAAAUGCUCUAUUCCUCAGGCCUCAGAUGAGUGCACAAGUUACGCAUGGUAUCCCUUCAUGCUAUAGGUCCUCAUGUUCUAACCUUUCGGCGACCUUUUUCUUAGGUUAAGAAUAAUGAUGAUGAACAGUUGUGUAGAUAGGAGAGAGUAAAUGGGUCAACUUUAUGUAAUUCUAUAAGUCUGAAUAAAUAUUGAGUAAAGUUUUUAUAUAUGACCUGGUCAAUUCAAAAUAUGUUACAUAUGUCUUCUUAAGAGUGGUGCAUGGAAGUUGUUUUUGAUAGAGGUUUGUAGGUUGUGAUAAGGUUGUUUUAUGGGAGUGUGUUUAGAAGUGCAUAUGCAGUUAUAGAAGUAGGCUUGAACAUCAUAUUUGUAUAUAUCCGAAUGAAUGCACUACACAUUAGUAAAUGUCUAGUAUGAGGUUGAAUGUGGUUGUUGGAGUGGUAAUGAGAAUUUUGCAUGAGAUGAGAAGUUGUGAAGUGUGGGGUGUGUUGAAUUAUGGUUCAGACUAGUAUUACAGUGUUAUGCGGUGUAUCCUGUGAUGGUGGGUUAGGCUUGAAGAUGGUGAGGGAAUUUAGUUCAUUUUAUACAUGAGUAGAUGGAAAUUCAAUGGCUAUGCGAGAAUUAGAAGAUGAAUCAAUGAGUAUGGUCUUAAAGGAAGGGAAUAGUUGAGAGAAUAUUUUAGAAGUAUAUCUAAGCUUGCUAGUAAGGUGUUACAUUUCCUAAGACCCAUAACUUCUAUCCCAGUCUCUAAUUCAAAGGGGUCUAUGUUCCAAGCUAUAGAGUCGUAGAAAUAUUGUAAUCAUUUAUUCAGAUGCUUUUUUUAGAUCAUGCCCAAAGUUUUUUGCUUCCUUAUAUCGUUAGAAUUCCCUAUGAGGGUGUUGAUAAAAUCCUCUACUUGAGUAUGAGUAUCUAGUAUGAUUCAGUUUGGAUAGCCAGCAGUCCAAUUUAACAAUCAGACGGAUAGAUUUCUAUAGUUUUUUAUUUUCCAAAAUAGUAUGGUCUUACUACCUGAAGUUUCAUAAGUAUAGUCAUUCCAAUAAAUAGUUGUUCUCACCCAUGAAAAUUUGUGAAUUCAGCUCAGUAUUUGUAUCAGGCAUCAGUUUCAGAAUUAGGAUAUCUAGUCAUGAUUCAGUGCAUAAGUAUUCACUAAACGAUCUUCAUUUCCAAGUGUUCCAGCUCAGACAGUGUAAUACCCAUUGUGUAAUCAUUGCCUUGUUUUCUCAUGAUUUAUGCAUGGAUAAACUAUCACUUCAAAAUCUAUAAGUAUGAUCACAACAUGAGCACAUCAAGCAAGUUCUAAACUCUCAGCAUGAAUCAUUUCCUUACGAUAAGUAAAGACAAGUUCAGUCGAAGGUAAUAGUCUUCCGUAAUUCAGCUUCUUUCUAAUCAAAGAUUCAGCUAUAUAGUUAUUCUUACAAUAAGUCCGUGCACUCAUAGAAGUACUCAAAGGCUUAGAAUGAGGUAGAAUCAGUUUAGCGAGUUAUUUCAGCUAUGCACCCUCAGUUUUCCUCUGUAUCCUUAGCCUAGCUAGACAUAUUCGAGGACGAAUAUUCCCAAGAAGAGAUAUUGUAGUACCUCGAACUUUCCUUAAGCCUAAUUUCAUCUCUAUAAGGUUGAGGAAUGAAUUCCAAAGUGUGUAAUGUUUAAAUUAUAUAGAAUUCUCCUAAUUUUGACUUUUUAUUAUGUGGGAAAUUGAAUUAUCUUUCCAAAGAUAUAAGAUUCACCAAAAUACAUUAACCAGGCAAGAAGUUAUGGUUAAUUGAAGUUCUUGUUGUAAAACACCAUCAUUUAGACCUUUAGCGUGUUGCGAAGAGGAGUAAUAUCCCAAUUGUCAGUUUCCAGUAGCCUAGCACGAUGGGGUACAUUGCGCUAAAGUUUUAGGUCCAAACCAGUGGGACAAUGUGAAGGCACCGCAUCGCGGUGACCCUCAGAUUCCCAUUCAUCAAUUUUCAGUGAGCCACUGCGAUAAUGGUGCAUCGCAGUGGCCAGUAAAAUUAGGCUCCGAGUUAUAUUUUCUAGUUUCGUUCAGAAGUUAAAAAGGGUAUUUUGGACUUUUCCAAGCCACUUAAAUUGUCCAAAUACCUGAUUUAAGGUCAUUACAAGCAUCAUAUACCAUUUUUCUAAAAAAUCCGUCAACCAAAAACCCUAGUUGAUCAAACUUCUCCUCUAAGAAACUCAAGAUUUCUCCAUUAAUUCUCCAACUUAAGUCAAUAUUCCAAGUUCUUAGUGCAAGAAUUCAACGAACCAUCAUUCAAGAGUUCCAAUAACAUCUCACAAGCAAGUUAUUCAUCCAAGUUUAUCAAUCUAAGGUAUGUGGGGUUUGAACAAGAACAAUCCUUGCAUUCUUGUUCCCAAAAACUCCUUUUAAAAUAUAAUUUUUUGAAUUUUACUAUGAUUUCCAUGAACAUUAAGUUAGACUUUAUACCCAUUACCAUUAUUUGCAAGAUUAUGUGAUUUCCAAUGGUUUAAAAGUUGAAUUACAUGAUUUUUUUUUAUAUUUCCGUGCCUAUUUCCAAAUUUUCCAGAUUUUAAGAUGAUUAUGAAUUUUUUGUUAUCAAAGCAUGAAUUUAGAGAUGUUGAAAUCAUGAGAUUCUUAUUAUGAGUUAUUUUUCCAAUAUCUUGAUUGAGAUGACUGUAAGCUUUUCAAGAUGAUGGUUGAGCAUUAAGUUUAAAUAUGAUUUUGAUGCAUUAAAGCUUUACAUUUUGAGUACUUUCCUAAGUAUAAGUGAUGAGUUUAUAAGGUGAUUAUGAUCUCAAGUUUUGUUGACAAGUUUUGAUAAGUGUUAUUAAAAGCAAAUAUUUGUAGUUUGAUCCUAAGCUAAGAUAGGAAUCCACAGUGUUUAUGAUUUCAAGCAAAGAGAAAUAUAAUUUGGUCUUCAUUAUAGGCCCUUGAGUUAUUUUAAGGUGGAUUUCCUAAAAGUUCUAAACUUAAAAAUGGGAGUAGUAUUUAGCACUGAAUUAGCUAUGAUUCCAAGAUCUCAUACCCCAGAACUACGUGCCACCAUAAGAUUGUGAUGAAUGGGUUAUACUCUCUGGCAAGAGUAUAACGCUUCUCCCCAAUGUAAGGCUUCUUUCUUAGAAGGAAAAAACAUUUGACUCCAUGUCAGCUCACAUAGUUUCUGUCGGUUAGAAGAACCUCCCAAAGCAGUCCCCUACUCUAUUUAAGAUAAAAGUAUAUGUGUUGAAUGUUUGAUUUCCAGAUUUCCAAUGCUUUAAGUUUCAAAGUUUCCUAAGUCCUAAAGUCCUAUAAUCUUUAUGUUUUAAAGAAGCCCCUUAUUCUUCUUAAGAUAAAAGUAUAAGUUUUGAAAGCUAUCAUUUUAAGAUUCUCUUUCUUACAUGUUUUGAGAAUAAGAUGGAGAUUAUAGAUUUUAGAAGUAAAUAGAAUGACUCACGAGAUUUGCACCAUAUGUUUCAUUAUACAUGAUUUAUGAGAUUCAGAAUUCAGCUUUUACUCAAGCUAUGUGAGUCAUUUAUAUCAGCAUGCAGAUUUUCUAUAAAGAUUGAUGAUAUUGUUUCCUUAUUGAAUUGAACCCCCAUAUACUCAUUACAUCCUCAAAGUGUUGAUCCACAUAUAUGUCUAUGUGCUACAUUGUCUCAUAAAGUAGGUACAAGUUGUAGUUUGUGCAGUCAAAAUCAGACAGUUGUAGAUUCCAGUCAGCAG
rnacentral:lncRNA from 1 species